rnacentral:lncRNA from 1 species
GACAGCAACAUUAUGCUCGAGCUGUAACUCAAUUAAAAGCAAGGUGUCCAGAGGAAGGCAACGAGCAGAAGUCAAUUCCACAGGAUAUUUCAGAUCAGCCAGAUAGCUUUAAAGUUGCACAACAUACUGCAAAUAAAUGCUCUUCCAAGUCCAACAGAGAAUUAUCUCCAAAUUCUAAAAACAAAUUGCAAAGUACAGAUAACAGUCCAGCUUCAAAUACAAUUAGAAAUUCAUUCUCUGCACUCU